rnacentral:rRNA from 2 species
UACGUAGGGGUCGAGCGUUGUCCGGAGUUACUGGGCGUAAAGCGCAUGCAGGCGGCUCAUUACGCAUGGCGUGAAAGCCCCCGGCUCAACCGGGGAGGGUCGUCGUGAACGGGUGAGCUUGAGGGUAUCAGGGGCUGGUGGAAUUCCCGGUGUAGUGGUGAAAUGCGUAGAGAUCGGGAGGAACACCUGUGGCGAAGGCGGCCAGCUGGGAUACACCUGACGCUGAGAUGCGAAGGCGUGGGGAGCGAACGGG